GUUGAUACGAUGCGGGUCUUUGGGCCACCCUCCAUCCGUGUCUAUUGUACCCUGUUGCUUCGGCGGGCCCGCCGCUUGUCGGCCGCCGGGGGGGCGCCUCUGCCCCCCGGGCCCGUGCCCGCCGGAGACCCCAACACGAACACUGUCUGAAAGCGUGCAGUCUGAGUUGAUUGAAUGCAAUCAGUUAAAACUUUCAACAAUGGAUCUCUUGGUUCCGGCAUCGAUGAAGAACGCAGCGAAAUGCGAUAACUAAUGUGAAUUGCAGAAUUCAGUGAAUCAUCGAGUCUUUGAACGCACAUUGCGCCCCCUGGUAUUCCGGGGGGCAUGCCUGUCCGAGCGUCAUUGCUGCCCUCAAGCCCGGCUUGUGUGUUGGGUCGCCGUCCCCCUCUCCGGGGGGACGGGCCCGAAAGGCAGCGGCGGCACCGCGUCCGAUCCUCGAGCGUAUGGGGCUUUGUCACAUGCUCUGUAGGAUUGGCCGGCGCCUGCCGACGUUUUCCAACCAUUCUUUCCAGGUUGACCUCGGAUCAGGUAGGGAUACCCGCUGAACUUAAGCAUAUCAAA
rnacentral:rRNA from 1 species